rnacentral:tRNA from 1 species
UUCAACAUGGCAGAAUAGUGCCAUGAACUUAAGCUUCAUAAAUGGAAGAAACAUUUCCUGUUGAAA